GGUGAGAAUAGCUUAGAAGGUAGAGCGAUGGUUUGUGGGGCCAAAGGUUAAGAGUUCAAGUCUCUUUUUUUACC
rnacentral:tRNA from 1 species